rnacentral:ncRNA from 1 species
UGUUAGGUUUGGUCCUGACCUUAGUGUUAAUUGCAACUAAAAUUAUACAUGCAAGUUUCAGCCCCCCUGUGAGAAUGCCCUAAGUAUUCUAUUAAAUAAUUAGGGGCGGGCAUCAGGCACACAUUUUACACGUGGCCCAAGACGCCUUGCUCAGCCACACCCCUAAGGGUUUUCAGCAGUAAUAAAUAUUGAUCAUAUAAGCGUAAGCUUGAAUCAGUUAAAGUCGACAGAGUUGGUAAAUCUCGUGCCAGCCACCGCGGUUAUACGAGUGACUCACAUUAACACUUCCCGGCGUAAAGUGUGAUUAAAGGAUAAUCUCCAAAUAACUACAGUUAUGACCUCAUCAAGCUGUUAUACGCACUCGUGAGUGGAAUAAUCAACAACGAAAGUGACUCUAAAUUACCAGAAAUCUUGAUGUCACGACAGUUGGGCCCCAAACUAGGAUUAGAUACCCUACUAUGCCCUACCAUAAACUUAGACAAUAAUCUACUAUAUUGUCCGCCAGAGUACUACAAGCGCUAGCUUAAAACCCAAAGGACUUGGCGGUGCCCCACACCCACCUAGAGGAGCCUGUUCUAUAACCGAUAAUCCCCGUUAAACCUCACCACUUCUUGCCAUUACCGUCUAUAUACCGCCGUCGUCAGCUCACCCCGUGAGGGUUAAAAAGUAAGCAAAAAGAAUUAAACUCCUAAACGUCAGGUCGAGGUGUAGCGAAUGAAGUGGAAAGAAAUGGGCUACAUUUUUUUACCAAAAAAUACGAACAGUAAACUGAAAAAUUACCCAAAGGUGGAUUUAGCAGUAAGAGGAGGUCAGAGUACUUCUCUGAAACUGGCUCUGGGGCGCGCACACACCGCCCGUCACUCUCCUCAAUAAACAUACUUAUUUUUAUAAAAAUUUUACCAAGACAAGAGGAGGCAAGUCGUAACAUGGUAAGUGUACUGGAAAGUGCACUUGGAAC